ACCAUCUUUCGGUUCCUAUCGGCGCUGGAAAUCUUCGAAAAAAACACUUUAAUUUGAAUAAAGUAUUUUAUUAGAAUAUGAGAAAAAUCUAAUACUACAUGUAGUAAUUGAUGGAUUGAUAGAUUUACUUUAUUGAUCCCAAACUUGGAAAUUACUGUUUCAACCGCAGCAAAUGUAAAAAAACAACAACUAAGAACUGUACAACUAACAAAUGUACAUACUAAAAAAUAAAUAACUUUAAUCUAAUUUUAAAGUUUAGGAUGUUCUUUAGGAUGUAGUAUCUGCUAAUGUCAGACAAUCUGCUGCCUUAAUCUUUUAACAAGAAGGUUAAGCUCUUUGUAAGUCCUGCAGGUCACAGUUCACUGCCAGCUGUUUCCACACUAAAGAUGAUAACUCACACACUGAAUGUAUGCAGCUAUUCCCCCAGCCCGAGACACAGAAGACGCAGCAGGUCCCGCAGCAGGAGCCGCUCUCGUUCCCGAAGCCGAUCCCGCUACAGCAGAUCCAGGUCCCGGUCCUACUCCCGAUCCAAGUCUCACUCUCCCAGGACUAAGAAGGCCAAGGCCAAGUCCCAGUCUCGCUCCAGAUCUAGAUCCAGGUCCAAGUCCAGGUCCAGAAGCCGCACCCCUUCCAGAGGGUCCAGGUCGAGAUCUAAAAGCCAGCCCAAGUCGGCAGCAGAAAAUGGAGGCGAAUCCCCGUAGAGCUCAGAAUCAGUUUUCAGGUGAACACCGAAGCAUCAAGUCCACGACUGAACCAACACGAGCGACAGUGUCCUGCUGUUUAAGGUUAUUAUUGUGUCUUCCAUGCUUUAGUUUGUUUUAUUCAUUUGGCCACAAAAAAGGCUUUGUCACUUCAAUGAUGUGCUGUAAUUUUUUUCAAUUAUUUUCAUGAUUUUUAAUAAUCUGCUUCAAUAUGGAGAGAAACUAAAGUUCUGACCUGGUUUUGUAACGAUGACACGGGAUAGUACAUAAAGUUUCUUCAUGUCCUUAACCCCACAUGGGCCUGUUUUGGAAGUUUUCAUCUCUCCUGGCUUUGAUAAACCUGGAUCCUGUGGCAGAAAUAUGGUUACCAGCUGACUCAAUGCAGCAAUCAUUACAUUCGCAGGUUUUUGGAGGGCAGAGAUGACACUAAUGUGUUAAAAUUUCUGCAACUAAGUGACUGAUCUGUUGACCAUUUAUUAAUUGUUAAAUCAUUUUAUAAAGUUUUUUAUUACUCAAAUGAACCUUGUUUUUUUUAAACAAACAUCAAAAUAAUACAUUUUACUAAAAUAUAAGACAAAGGAAAGCAGGAAAUCCUCAAAUUUGAGAAGCUGAAAAUAUAUUUUUGCUUGAGAAAUUACUGAAAUUAUUAUUUGAUCAUCAAAAAUAUUUCCAUGCAAUCUAAUGAUCGGUUAUUGCAGCUUUGGUUAACCUCACUUUGUGACACGGGUCUGAGGUUUCAACGACAGGACAGUGGGAGAUGUCUGAAGAAGCCUGUUUUCUACUUUUUAAUUUCCUGUUCAGCAAGAGAUGAGUCCAAAAACAACCGAUCCUCUCCAAACUUUAAACUUUUCAUAUUUCAAGGUCUCGGCUUCCUUCCAAUGUUUAAUUUCUGCAGCUCAGGGUGUCUUUGUUAGACAGCAGAUCAUUCAGCUCCUGUGAUAAAUGUGUCGGUGUAAUUACAGUAAAGAGAGACUGAAAGAUGUAAAGUCUCUGUCUGCAGGUUGCUUCAGGUCAGUGAAACAGAUUUUAAGGUUAAAUCUUUGUUGAAACUUACAGGACAUGGUUUACUGGACUCUAGACACAGCGUCUCUGUUCUUUUUAUUUUUAUUUUUAAAUCCUAACCCUGCUUGUAUGUUUGUUUUGUGCACUAGGCGCAGUUGUGUAGCAGUUGAGUAUUGCUGGUUAGCUGUUAAGGUGGCGUGUUGCUCUGCUGAGUGCUGAUGUAUCCAGUAUUCUCCAGAAUGCUCCUGUGACUACCAGUGCUACGGUUUCUGCAGGCUCACUCUUUGUAAGAUGAAAUGUUCUUUCCCAUACAGUCAUGAUGACAAAUGUGACUUUCAUUAAAGAUUUGGUGUUUUGUCUAAAA